rnacentral:misc_RNA from 1 species
AACCGAAUUUCUCGUAGAUGUCGAUCGUCGGCCAUUUCGAGGGGAUCAACCGGCGAUACCGGUUAUCGAUUGAGAUUUGCGGGUACGCCAACUUAACCCCCGCGCUGGGNGACGUAUUGUCGUACCCUUAUGAUGUCACUCAAAUUUCCGCUUAACAUGAUGUCGAGCGCUGGUGCCCCCUCGAAAUAUCGGUUUGGUCGGCGAAUCCAGCGCACCGCGGCCUCUGGCGAGUCGAGCAGAAUGCUGAGGGCUUUGUACACGGAGCCUAGGUG